rnacentral:sRNA from 1 species
GGUUAUCUUCACUUCUGUAGUUUGAGCUAGGAUGUUAUUUUCUGUAGUUUGUGCUAGGAGGUUAACUUCACUUCUGUAGUGUGGGCUAGGAGGUUAUCUUCACUUCUGUAGUUUGAGCUAGGAGGUUAUCUUCACUUCUGUAGUUUGAGCUAGGAGGUUAUCUUCACUUCUGUAGUUUGAGCUAGGAGGUUAUCUUCACUUCUGUAGUUUGAGCUAGGAGGUUAUCUUCACUUCUGUAGUUUGAGCUAGGAGGUUAUCUUCACUUCUGUAGUUUGAGCUAGGAGGUUAACUUCACUUCUGUAGUGUGGGCUAGGAGGUUAACUUCACUUCUGUAUUGUGU